GUCUUUUCAGUGAUGAUUCAGCCCUGAAGCAAUACCUCUUGUUUAAAGGAGAAGGAAAGGAAGAAUCACAGAGGGGCACUCACAGGAAAAGUACCCUGGAUUCCAAGUGCAUUUUUUGAGCAGUCCAGGAUAGUAGAACCAAAAGAGUUGGGUGUGCACAUGCACCAAGAUGACCUGGUGGGGAGGAUCCUGGAAAGAAGUUUGAGGAUGCAGACCCCUGCUCUGCCUUACUUACCCUAGGCCAGAGUAUGAGGUAAGUAAUAAAAUGGAAGAAUGACUUCAAUGAGGUAAAUUUAAAGUCACUGGGGGUGCCUAACAAACUGGCAUCCUGCAGCUUUCUAUUUAUUUUAUAAUGGAUCCAUGGGGUGGUGAAAUAUUAUGAAUAAGCAUACAGUAUGCUAGAUUUCAUUCCUUGAGCGAGAGUUUCAGCCUCUCACUUGGUGUUAAAUGGGUAGUUCAUGACUAAAUUAACUUUUAGUAUAAAGCAAACAAUGUUACUCUGAGACAAUGUGUAAUUGGUUUUCAUUUUUUAUUAUUUGUGGUUCAUCAGUUAUUUAGCUUUUUGUUCAGCAGUUCUCCUCUAAGAGGGACACACAGACCAUCACAAGAUGCUGGCUCAAGGUAAAAGAUGUAAAAGGGCAUGCGCAGGGCAAAGCCAAACUUUUAACAAGAAAGUUGCCAUUUUCACCCUACUGCGCAUGCCACGGCCCCAAGAUUUGAAAGAACAAAGACAGAGAAGAGGAUUGCUGUCUCGCAGCUAGACCGGGCUGGUGCUGUUUUCUCCUAACAGGACCACCUACCGGGGUAUAAGGUACAGCUGAUUGCACAAGGACCUUCUACUAUCAUGAGUUCAAGUUUACAUUCACUGUGAAAUUAUGUGAAAUUGUACAGCAAAGCCAACCACUGACUUCUACC